rnacentral:rRNA from 1 species
UACGUAGGGUGCAGGCGUUAAUCGGAAUUACUGGGCGUAAAGCGUGCGCAGGCGGUCUUUUAAGUCAGAUGUGAAAUCCCCGGGCUUAACCUGGGAACUGCGUUUGAAACUGGAAGGCUAGAGUGUGGCAGAGGGGGGUGGAAUUCCACGUGUAGCAGUGAAAUGCGUAGAUAUGUGGAGGAACACCGAUGGCGAAGGCAGCCCCCUGGGCUAACACUGACGCUCACGCACGAAAGCGUGGGGAGCAAACAGG